CUCUUUUCACUGGUGCUAUCAGUGUCUUCUGUCACUUUGAGUUUUUCUUUACAGUUCCUCAUAUUCUGGAGGAGGCUGCUGUUAAUUUGUAUGAGGGUUAAGGUUAUGUUAGGGAACUUCCCUCAUACUGUAGGCUUGCGACUUUCUGGAGAAAGAAAGAAUCAGGUGCAGAUUUGUUGAGUGUCUCUGUCAUUUGGGUACGGGGUAAGUAGUUUGGUGGCUGAAGUGGAGGACUGCAAAGCAGCCAGAUACACGAGCGGGGAGCAUGGACUCUGAAAUGAGACAUGUGUUCCUGUUAUCUGCUGCUGCCUAACAAAUCAUCCUCGGGCUGUGCAGCUUCAUACAGCAUCCAUGUGUCGCC
rnacentral:lncRNA from 1 species